rnacentral:rRNA from 1 species
UACGUAGGGUCCGAGCGUUGUCCGGAAUUAUUGGGCGUAAAGGGCUCGUAGGCGGUUUGUCGCGUCGGGAGUGAAAACACGGGGCUUAACCCCGUGCCUGCUUCCGAUACGGGCAGACUAGAGGUAUGCAGGGGAGAACGGAAUUCCUGGUGUAGCGGUGAAAUGCGCAGAUAUCAGGAGGAACACCGGUGGCGAAGGCGGGUCUCUGGGCCGAUAUCGACGCUGAGGAGCGAAAGCGUGGGGAGCGAACAGG